GAAGAGGUCCUAUCAUAGAACUGCUAACUCCUUGAUCCAAAAUUAAACCUUUGGCCCCUUCC
rnacentral:tRNA from 1 species